rnacentral:lncRNA from 1 species
AACUAUGAAGAUCCAGCCACCGUGGGAUUAUUUUGAUAAAAAGAUUAAGUUAUGUUGAAAUUCAUUUAGGAGAAAUCUGACAGGAACUUUCAUUUUUUAUCAGAGCUGAUAAAGAGUCAAGUGAAACACUUACAUAUAUGCAUCUAGCCAGCCCAACGUCUUUAUUUAAGGGGAUUUGGGAGGCUAUUUUUUAGUAUAGACUUUUGUUUUUAAGUAUUUGUCCUUGCUUUUUCUGCUUUUUUUUAUUAUUAUUUAUUUAUAAAUAAUCAUUGCAAAAGAGUUAGAAAACUGAAGAUGUGUUUGGCUGUUUACAUGUUUUAAAAAAAAUAAAAAUCAUUAAACUAGAAUUCUGGCAUUACGAGCAGAGAACUCAGCCAAAGCAGCUUUGUCGUUGAAGGUUUAAGGAAAUGAGAAA